UAGGGAAUCUUCCGCAAUGGGCGAAAGCCUGACGGAGCAACGCCGCGUGAGUGAUGAAGGUCUUCGGAUCGUAAAACUCUGUUAUUAGGGAAGAACAAAUGUGUAAGUAACUAUGCACGUCUUGACGGUAACUAAUCAGAAAGCUACGGAUAACUACGUGCCAGCAGCCGCGGUAAUACGUAGGUGGCAAGCGUUAUCCGGAAUUAUUGGGCGUAAAGCGCGCGUAGGCGGUUUUUUAAGUCUGAUGUGAAAGCCAACGGCUCAACCGUGGAGGGUCAUUGGAAACUGGAAAACUUGAGUGCAGAAGAGGAAAGUGGAAUUCCAUGUGUAGCGGUGAAAUGCGCAGAGAUAUGGAGGAACACCAGUGGCGAAGGCGACUUUCUGGUCUGUAACUGACGCUGAUGUGCGAAAGCGUGGGGAUCAAACAGG
rnacentral:rRNA from 1 species